UACAGAGGGGGCAAGCGUUAUUCGGAAUUAUUGGGCGUAAAGGGCGCGUAGGCGGCCUGGCAAGUGGAAGAUGAAAUCCCUCGGCUUAACCGAGGAACUGCCUCCCAAACUGCUUGGCUUGAGACCAGGAGAGGUGAGUGGAAUUCCCAGUGUAGCGGUGAAAUGCGUAGAUAUUGGGAGGAACACCAGUGGCGAAGGCGGCUCACUGGACUGGUACUGACGCUGAGGCGCGAAAGCGUGGGGAGCAAACGGG
rnacentral:rRNA from 1 species